UCGAGGAUCUUUCACAAUGCCCGAAAGGGUGAUGAUGCGACGCCGCGUGGAGGAUGAAGGCCUUCGGGUUGUAAACUCCUGUCAUGAGGGAUGAAAUGUGGGGAUGCUAACAGUAUCCUCACUUGACGGUACCUCAAGAGGAAGCCACGGCUAACUCUGUGCCAGCAGCCGCGGUAAUACAGAGGUGGCAAGCGUUGUUCGGAUUUACUGGGCGUAAAGGGUGCGUAGGCGGCCUUGUGUGUCAGGUGUGAAAUCCCACGGCUCACCCGUGGAAAUGCACUUGAAACUGCAGGGAUCGAGUUCAGGAGAGGUAAGCGGAAUUCUUGGUGUAGCAGUGAAAUGCGUAGAUAUCAAGAGGAACACCGGUGGCGAAGGCGGCUUACUGGACUGAUACUGACGCUGAGGCACGAAAGCCAGGGUAGCAAAAA
rnacentral:rRNA from 1 species